UGCGUAGGUGGGUUGGUAAGUCAGUGGUGAAAUCUCCGAGCUUAACUUGGAAACUGCCAUUGAUACUAUCAAUCUUGAAUACCGUGGAGAUGAGCGGAAUAUGUCAUGUAGCGGUGAAAUGCUUAGAUAUGACAUAGAACACCAAUUGCGAAGGCAGCUCGUUACACGAAUAUUGACACUCAGGCACGAAAGCGUGGGGAUCAAACAGGAUUAGAUACCCUGGUAGUCCACGCCCUAAACGAUGGAUACUCGACAUACGCGAUACACAGUGUGUGUCUGAGCGAAAGCAUUAAGUAUCCCACCUGGGAAGUACGAUCGCAAGAUUGAA
rnacentral:rRNA from 1 species